AUGUAUGAUUGAAGCCAGCAUCAAAUGUGAAUAUUGUCAUCGCCUAUUCUGCUACCACUGUGAUAUGAAAAAACUUUUUUUAAACCCAUUCCAUGAUAGGUUUUCCUGGGCCAGUGGAUAUUAUGAAGCAUUGCCACCAACUGUGACUGUUGACCUUAAUGGGACAUUUACUGACUGGCGCAGGUAUGACCUUUAUCUGCCCAUAUUUGAGUGUCAAGAGUGUGGAUACAGCCUUCCUGCAGAUGCUAAGAUGUUGUAUGAUGGUGGAUACUUCUGCUCAUCAGCCAGGAAAAGUAACACAUUCUUCAGCACCAAACUCCUGAACAACUGGCAUUUCCUUAAAAGGAACAGUCCAGGUUUAUCAAUAA
rnacentral:misc_RNA from 1 species